CAACGCGACCCCAGUGCAGGCGCGGGCGACCUGCUUGUGUU
rnacentral:rRNA from 1 species